rnacentral:misc_RNA from 1 species
UCAAACUUGGUCAUUUAGAGGAAGUAAAAGUCGUAACAAGGUCUCCGUUGGUGAACCAGCGGAGGGAUCAUUACUGAGUUAUCAAAACUCCAAACCCUUUGUGAACCUUACCGUCGUUGCCUCGGCGUGAGCUACGGCUACCCUGUAACUACCCUGGAGCUACCCUGGAGCUACCCUAGAGUUACCCUAUAGCUACCCUGCACUUACCCUGCAGCUACCCUAUAGCUACCCUGGAGCUACCCUGGAGCUACCCUGGAGCUACCCUGUAGUCGGCUUCGGCCCGCCGAAGGACCGUUAAACUCUUGUUUUUUUACCACUGUUUCUCUGAAUUUUAAACUAAAAUUAGUUAAAACUUUCAACAACGGAUCUCUUGGUUCUGGCAUCGAUGAAGAACGCAGC